rnacentral:rRNA from 1 species
UACGUAGGGUGCGAGCGUUGUCCGGAUUUACUGGGCGUAAAGAGCGCGCAGGCGGUCGUUCAAGCCGCGUGUGAAAGCCCCCGGCUCAACUGGGGAGGGUCACGCGAUACUGAUCGACUCGAAGGCAGGAGAGGGUAGUGGAAUUCCCGGUGUAGUGGUGAAAUGCGUAGAUAUCGGGAGGAACACCAGUGGCGAAGGCGACUACCUGGCCUGUUUCUUGACGCUGAGGCGCGAAAGCUAGGGGAGCAAACGGG